rnacentral:rRNA from 1 species
GACGAAGGGGGCUAGCGUUGUUCGGAAUUACUGGGCGUAAAGCGCGUGUAGGCGGCUUUGCAAGUCGGGUGUGAAAGCCCUCAGCUUAACUGAGGAAGUGCGCCCGAAACUGCAGAGCUUGAGUACCGGAGAGGAUGGUGGAAUUCCCCAAGUAGAGGUGAAAUUCGUAGAUAUGGGGAGGAACACCGGUGGCGAAGGCGACCAUCUGGACGGAUACUGACGCUGAGACGCGAAAGCGUGGGUAGCAAACAGG